rnacentral:lncRNA from 1 species
UAUAAAUAUCAGUUAAUGAAAGAGCCCAAUGCAAAAAAAAUGCAUGUUGGGUCUUUGAAACAGUUCAGAUCAUUUUAAUAAUAAUAAGUUUGAUCUGUUUUACCGAGAAGGUCUACGGUUCAAGUCCGUAUAGCCCUAUAAAAUAAAAUAAAAAUGAAAAAAUAAAAUUGUAUAAUUUUCAUUUCUUCAUUAUUAUUUCUUGCUUGUAACUAAGUGAAAUUCAACUAUUCCUAUAAGUUUACUCACGGCAAUCGUUUAAGUUUAAGCAGAUGAAAGAAAAAACGCAUAUCAAUGGAUCCAAUCGAUAUUUAUUUUUUCAAUUGCAGAUAAACAAACCAACCUUUCGUCAUUAAUCUUCGGAGGCGAAUUACAUAUUCAUAUCCACAAUAAAAGAAUUAGUGAGACCCCCUUUCUUUUGAUAUCCCCAAUCUUAUUGAAUUUUGGAAGUCAAAUCAUUUCACGGGCCUGGUGAAAUGAAAAACUACGAAGAGGAAUUCACAUGGAUUUAGGAAGGGACUGCUGUAUUUGUGUACAAGCUAAAGUUUUUUGAAAAACGAAUAUCUUUGGUCACUUUCAUUAUCAAAUAGGCUUUUCCUUCGUAUACCUUACUUACCUCGACCUAGCGAAGCACAACACAAAAAAGGUAGUCUUCUUUUUCUGUAUUCAACCAAGAAAAACCCCUCCACCUGGAUUCGAAUCCUAAUACUAUUAUUAAAUAAUAAUAAAAUAACAAAAGGAAUAUACCAACACAAGAUCUUCUAAAUCUUGAGAUGGAAGUUCCUAUACAUUCUCUUCUAUUUGAUUACUUAUUCCAUUUUAUAUCACUAAAUCACUAAGAAAAAAAAUUAAAUAAAGACCUCCUGAUUCUAUUUAUUCUAUUUAUAGAAAAAAAUUAAAAUAUUCUAUUUAUUCUGUUUAAAGAAUUUCUAAUUAAAGAAGAACUAAGAUAGUUAAUUAAUUUAGAAUUCCCUGUCUUUAGUUUAGAGAAAAAAACAAGAGAAAGAGGAGAAUUUGUAAAAGAGUAAUAUAUAGUUAGAAGGUUCUACUAACUAAAUAAAAUGAAAAUAAGUAUAAUGGAAAUAAAAUUGGAUUCCAGUCGAUGAAUCUUGCAAUGAGAUCUGCCCUUCAAUAAACCAAUAAACAAAGCCAAACUAGGUGGUUCGACCAAAAUGAAUUCUUGUUUUGACUAAUAUAGUUAUGGAUGGCUUGACAAUUCCCAUUCGAAUCGACCAAUCGAAUCCGGUAUAUUUUCCAUGUUCAUAGGAGUACGUUUAUGUUUCUUCUUUACGAAUAUAAUUUUUUUGGGCAUUUCUAAUAAUAUCCAUCCUUGUUCCUAUUUUGGCAUUUUUCAUUUCUGGAGUGUUAGCCUCGAUAGCAAAGGGCCGAAGAAACUUUCUACUUAUGAGUCAGGUAUAGAACCAAUGGGUGAUGUUUGGUUACAAUUUCAAAUCUGUUAUUAUAUGUUUGCUCUAGUUUUUGUUGUUUUUGAUGUUGAAAUGGUUUUAUUUAUCCAUGGGCAAUGAGUUUCGACGUAUUGGGUGUAUCUAUAUUUAUAGAAGCUCUGAUUUUCGUGCUUAUCUUAAUUAUUGAUUUAGUUUAUGCAUGGCGAAAGGGGGCAUUGGAAUGGUCUUAGCUCCUGAAUAUUCAGACAAUACAAAGAAAAACGGAAAAAAUAAGAUUGAGAUAGUUAUGAAUUCCAUUCAGUUUCCUUUACUUGAUCGAACACCUCCAAAUUCAGUUAUUUCAACUAAAUCCUAUGGAUUCUUAGGAUUGGUAUAUUUUUUUAUAUCCUGUAGUUUGUAGUUUCCCUGAAUCAAGCCAAGUAGCACAACUCUUUCUACCCAUCCUGUAUAUUGUCCCCUUUGUUCCGUUCCGUGUUGAAAUGGAAGCAACAUUUAUUACUUAUUAUUUUAUUAGAUUUUAGAUUAGUUAGUGAUUAGAUAUUAGUAUUAGACGAGAUUUUAAGAAAAAAAUUUUGAUUUCUUUAUAGGGGUAUAGGAGAGGACAAAUCUCUUUUUUUUUUAUGCAAAUUUGACUCGUCAUAGGAGAAUCGCCCUUUAUCAAAAAUUAUAUCAUUAUAUUUAUAUUAUUUUUAAUAAUAAAAGGGGGUUCUGACAUAUUAAUAUAUAGUGAAAUGUUCCCCCAGAUUCAGAACUUUUUUUCAAUACUCACUAAUAAUCCUAGUGAUUGGAUUUCUAUGCUUAGUCUGAUAGGAAAUAAGAUAUUCAAAUAAAUAAUUUUAUAGGGAAUGACUAUUCAUCUAUUGUAUUUUCAUGCAAAUAGGGGGCAAGAAAACUCUAUGGAAAGAUGGUGGUUUAAUUCGAUGUUGUUUAAGAAGGAGUUCGAACGCAGGUGUGGGCUAAAUAAAUCAAUGGGCAGUCUUGGUCCUAUUGAAAAUACCAGUGAAGAUCCAAAUCGAAAAGUGAAAAACAUUCCUAGUUGCAGUAAUGUUGAUUAUUUAUUCGGCGUUAAAGACAUUCGGAAUUUCAUCUCUGAUGACACUUUUGUAGUUAGUGAUAGGAAUGGAGACAGUUAUUCCAUCUAUUUUGAUAUUGAAAAUCAGAUUUUUGAGAUUGACAACGAUCAUUCUUUUCUGAGUGAACUAGAAAGUUCUUUUUAUAGUUAUCGAAACUCGAGUUAUCUGAAUAAUGGAUUUAGGGGCGAAGAUCCCUACUAUAAUUCUUACAUGUAUGAUACUCAAUAUAGUUGGAAUAAUCACAUUAAUAGUUGCAUUGAUAAUUAUCUUCAGUCUCAAAUCUGUAUAGAUACUUCCAUUAUAAGUGGUAGUGAGAAUUACAGUGACAGUUACAUUUAUAGGGCCGUUUGUGGUGGUGAAAGUAAAAAUAGUAGUGAAAACGAGGGUUCCAGUAUACAAACUCGCACAAAGGGCAGUGAUUUAACUAUAAGAGAAAGUUCUAAUGGCAGUGAUUUAACUAUUGGCAGUGAUUUAACUAAUGGCAGUGAUUUAACUAUUGGCAGUGAUUUAACUAAUGGCAGUGAUUUAACUAUAAGAGAAAGUUCUAAUGAUCUCGAGGUAACUCAAAAAUACAGGCAUUUGUGGGUUCAAUGCGAGAAUUGUUAUGGAUUAAAUUAUAAGAAAUUUUUUAAAUAAAAAAUGAAUAUUUGUGAACAAUGUGGAUAUCAUUUGAAAAUGAAUAGUUCGGAUAGAAUUGAACUUUUGGUCUAUCCGAGUACUUGGGAUCCUAUGGAUGAAGACAUGGUCUCUCUGUAUCCCAUUGAAUUUCAUUCGGAAGAGAAGCCUUAUAAAGAUCGAAUUGAUUCUUAUCAAAGAAAGACAGGAUUAACCGAGGAUGUUGAAAUAGGCAUAGGCCAAAUAAAUGGCAUUCCCGUAGCAAUUGGGGUUAUGGAUUUUCAGUUUAUGGGAGGUAAUAUGGGAUCCGUAGUCGGAGAGAAAAUCACCCAUUUGAUUGAACACGCUGCCAAUCAAAUUUUACCUCUUAUUAUAGUGUAUGCUUCUGGGGGCGCGCAUGCAGGAAGGAAGUUUGAGCUUGAUGAAAAUAGCUAAAUAUCGUCUGCUUUAUAUGAUUAUUAAUUAAAUAAAAAAUUAUUUUAUUUGUCAAUCCUUACAUCUCCGACAACUGGUGGAGUGACAGCUAGUUUUGGUGUGUUGGGGGAUAUUAUUAUUGUUGAACCCAAUGCCCACAUUGAUUUGCAGGUAAAAGAGUAAUUGAACAAACAUUGAAUAAAACAGUACCCGAAGGUUCACAAGUAGCUGAAUACUUAUUCCAGAAGGGUUUAUUCGACCUAAUUGUACCACGUAAUCUUUUAAAAAGCGUUCUGAGUGAGUUAUUUAAGCUCCACGCCUUUUUUCCUUUGAAUCAAAAGUCAAGCAAAAUCAAGUAGAGCACUAAGGCCAUUAUUUUAUUUUAUUUGUGUUUGUAGCAAAAAAGUAGUUAGUUUAUCGGAAUCAAAGUAAAUAAGAUAAAGUAAAUAAGAUAAUAAUGGCCCUUUCUUUGGUGAUAGAAGAUCUAAUUGUAGAAAGAAUCAAAACUAAAGUUGAGGAUAACUCUUUUUUGACCUAUAUUCCUGAUUACGAAUCAAGAAGCCUUUAUCACCAAGAGUGAGUUCUUCCUUUCGUGAAAUUAGGAAAAUAAAACGAAUUUCUUCUUGUCUUAGGUAUAUAAUUUGAAAUUAAAAUAUAGAUAAUAGAGUUUUGUAUCUUUCUCUAUCUCCCUAAAAACCAUUUUAGCUAAAAAUUCAUGUUGGGUCGGAUUCGAAUGAAUCUUUCGAUAAUCUCUUUAUUUAUUUUUAGAAAAUAAGAAGACAAGAACAAAAGACAACGAAAUGAAGAAAAAUAAUAAAGUUUAUUAUGAUACAUAUCUUUCUCUUGUAAGAGAUGAAUAAGUCCAUUUAUUUAGUUCUACAUUCUUUGAACUUAUUCUUAUUAUAUGUACUCAGUUAGAUUUAGAUAUAUAGAUACUUAGGUCUAUACUAAGAAUUUCAAAUUCUUCAAAUUCUAUCAAUAAUAAAUAUUAUCUAAUUAGAAUUCAAAUUCUUAAUUUAAUUAUAAUUAUUUAAUUAUGACAAGAUAUCUUUAUUUAUAUAAUAACAUAAUAACAGAUACAAUAUAGUAAAUCGAGGUACCCCUUCUAUGACAAAUUUGAACCUUCCAUCUAUUUUUGUGCCGUUAGUAGGCCUAGUCUUUCCGGCAAUUGCAAUGGCUUCUUUAUUUAUUCAUGUUCAAAAAAACAAGAUUGUUUAGAUACGCUGGGACCCAAUCUCAUCCAUUUUUUUUUGAAAACGUGGACUUGUAUCAUAACACGGAUAUCUAUUUAUUGGAAUAGAGUAUAACAUGUGAUUUCUACCGAACAUAAAGGAAAAAACUCUUAUGCCUGCAGAAACAUGAUAUAUGGAUAUAUCCAUUCUAGUAAUUUUCAAAUAGAUCAGGAUCACUGGAUGGCUGAAAUGUAGUCGGUUAAUCUCUAUGUAUAUCGAUAUGUAUAGUGGGAUCGUAUUAAAUAAAGAGUAUGUUAUUAUUUUAGAUUUAACCAAUUUGAUGAAUUACUCCUAAAGGUUGACAUCAAACUAGUGCUAGUUCACCUCAAACUAGUGCUAGUUGAUGAGAGUUACUUCGGAAACAAAAAAGUAAAGUCAAAUUUCUAUGGGGUAUUAUCUCAAUUCUAAUAAAAUGCAAUCGGGUAAAGUAUGACUUGGCGAUCAGAACAUAUAUGGAUAGAACUUAUAACGGGGUCUCGAAAAAUAAGUAAUUUCUGCUGGGCCUUUAUCCUUUUUUUAGGUUCAUUAGGCUUCUUAUUAGUUGGAACUUCCAGUUAUCUUGGUAGAAAUUUGAUAUCUUUUUUUCCGCCUCAGCAAAUCAUUUUUUUUCCACAAGGAAUCGUGAUGUCUUUCUACGGAAUUGCGGGUCUCUUUAUUAGCUCUUAUUUGUGGUGCACAAUUUCCUGGAAUGUAGGUAGUGGUUAUGAUCGAUUCGAUAUAAAGGAAGGAAUAGUCUGUAUUUUUCGUUGGGGAUUUCCGGGAAAAAAUCGUCGCAUAUUCCUCCGAUUCCUUAUAAAAGAUAUUCAGUCCGUUAGAAUAGAAGUUAAAGAGGGUAUUUAUGCUCGUCGUGUUCUUUAUAUGGACAUCCGAGGCCAGGGGUCCAUUCCCUUAACCCGUACUGAUGAGAAUUUGACUCCACGAGAAAUUGAACAAAAGGCUGCUGAAUUAGCCUAUUUCUUGCGUGUACCAAUUGAAGUAUUUUGAGAAAUUGAGAAUCAGAACGUUCAUUCAAUUAAAGAAAACGUAUAUGAAAGAACCAUAAAACGAAACUCUUUUUAUGGUCUUUAUGCGUAUGUAAACCCACGCAAUUCAAUAACAAAUAACAAAUCGAAAUAAUAGAUUCAUCUCAGAUGGCAAACCAUUUCGAAAUCAAGAAAUUUUUUUUAGUUCAAUAUUUGUUGGAAUUGACACUUUAGAUCCAGAUAGAUCAUAUCUUGUAAAUUGGAAAUUCUUUCUUUUGUAUUCUUUAAUGACCAACAAUUGGAUUUCUUAAUUAAAUAAUGAGAACUAGCCAAUUUAUCUUUUGCCAGUCAUUUUUUUUUAUCAUCGUAAUAUCUUUCCCUCAAUUAUUCUAUUCCUGACUAUGGGUAAUUAGUGAAAUUUUUUCGAAAUAUUGGAUAUUUUGAUAGCAAGGGAGUUCUUUCUUCUCAAAAUCUGAACAAUAUUCAUUACUUAAAGUGGUUCUUUCGAUCAUUCAUCGAAAGGAGACACUUGAUUUUGAAUUUGACCAAUUGAGAUAUCAGGAAACAAUAUUCUCAAUUUCUUCAUUCGAAGUGAAUUCUUAGCCUAUUUCUGUAUUCUUUCUAGAUUCAAAGACUAACCACAAAAUCACAAAGAAAAUAGAUUCAUAAGUUCGAUACCUUGUAUAAAACUCAUGUGUGUAAGAAAUAUUCGAUCGCAUAGAGUGUACGGAUGGGUUGAUUAACAAUUCACAGAUGAAAAAAUGGCAAAAAAGAAAGCAUUCACCCCUCUUUUCUAUCUUGCAUAUAUAGUAUUUUUGCCCUGGUGGAUUUCUUUCUCAGUUAAUAAAUGUCUGGAAUCUUGGGUUACUAAUUGGUGGAAUACUGGGCAAUCCGAAAUUUUCUUGAAUACUAUUCAAGAAAAGAGUCUUCUAGAAAAAUUCAUAGAAUUAGAGGAACUCCUCUUCUUGGACGAAAUGAUCAAGGAAUACUCGGAAACACAUCUCGAAGAGUUUGGGAUAGGAAUCCAUAAAGAAACGAUCCAAUUAAUCAAGAUGCAAAAUGAGAAUCGUAUCCAUACGAUUUUGCACUUCUCAACAAAUAUCAUCUGUUUUAUUAUUCUAAGCGGGUAUUCAAUUUUGGGUAAUGAAAAACUUGUUAUUCUUAACUCUUGGGCUCAGGAAUUCCUAUAUAACGUAAGUGACACAGUAAAAGCUUUUUCUAUUCUUUUAUUAACUGAUUUAUGUAUCGGAUUCCAUUCACCCCGCGGUUGGGAAUUAAUUAUUGGCUCUAUCUAUAAAGAUUUUGGGUUUGUUCAUAAUGAUCAAAUUAUAUCUGGUCUUGUUUCCACCUUCCCAGUCAUUCUCGAUACAAUUUUUAAAUAUUGGAUUUUCCGUUAUUUAAAUCGUCUGUCUCCGUCACUUGUAGUUAUUUAUCAUUCAAUGAAUGACUGAUAAAGGAUCCAUUGAUAUUAAUCUAAUCCAAUUAGAAUGCUUGGUACUUUGUAGUUGUACAUAAGCAAAGUAUUGAAAAUCGUAUUUUAUCUUUCUAUUUCUAACCAUCGGGAAGAUUCAUCCUAUAUUAUUUCUAGAUUAUUCCAGCAAAUAGCAGAAUCGUGGCUAGGGAACUAUACUAGCGACCUACCCAAUUUAUUGUAGAAAUUUUCGCGAUCAAUGAUUGGACCAUGCAAACUAGAAAUGCUUUUUCUUGGCUAAAGAAACAGAUUACUCGAUCAGGUGGGAAUACACUGGGUUUGUUGUUGUUGUUGUUGAGAUAAUAUGGAUGAGAUUGUCUAUAAUGAUAGACAAAUAAAAGACUUUUUCAAGAUUCUGAUUCAUCCACUUGAGGUUUUUAAAUUAAAAUAGGUUGGGUGAGCUUGCAAAUUAACUCAAUCUCAUUGAAUAAGUAAACAAUUGAAUUGGUUCAAUUGCAUGGUGCCAACGAAAUCGAGUGCUAAUUCCCAUUUUAUUGAAUUAACCGAUCGACGUGCUAGCGGACAUUUACUUUGAAUUCGAUAAUUUUUGAAAAAACAUUUCGACAUAUUAUUUAUUUAUUUUAUUAUUAUGAGAAUCAAUCCUACUACUUCUGGUUCAGGAGUUUCCACGCUUGAAAAAAAAAACCUGGGGCGUGUUGUCCAAAUCAUCGGUCCGGUACUAGAUGUAGCCUUUCCCUCGGGCAAGAUGUCGAAUAUUUAUAAUGCUCUCGUAGUUCAAGGUCGAGAUAGUGUUGGUCAACUAAUUAAUGUGGCUUGUGAGGUACAACAAUUAUUAGGAAAUAAUCGAGUUAGAGCUGUAGCUAUGAGUGCUACAGGCGGUUUAACGAGAGAAAUGGAAGUGAUUGACACAGGAGCUCCUAUAAGUGUUCCGAUCGGGUGGACAACUUUGGGAUGAAUUUUUAACGUGCUCGGAGAGCCUGUUGAUAAUUUAGGGCCUGUAGAUACUAGUACAACGUCUCCUAUUCAUAGAUCUGCACCCGGCUUUAUAAAAUUGGAUACAAAAUUAUCUAUUUUUGAAACAGGAAUUAAAGUAGUAGAUCUUUUAGCCCCUUAUCGCCGUGGAGGAAAAAUCAGACUAUUUGGGGGAGCUGGAGGGGGUAAAACAGUACUCAUUAUGGAAUUGAUUAACAAUAUUGCUAAAGCUCACGGGGGCGUAUCCGUAUUUGGCGGAGUGGGUGAACGUACUCGGGAAGGAAAUGAUCUUUACAUGGAAAUUAAAGAAUCUGGAGUGAUUAAUGAAGAAAAUAUUGCAGAAUCAAAAGUGGCCCUAGUUACGGUCUGAUGAAUGAACCAUCAGGAGCUUGUAUGAGAGUUGGUUUGACUGCCUUAACUAUGACGGAAUAUUUUCGAGAUGUUAAUGAGCAAGACGUACUUCUAUUUAUUGACAAUAUCUUUUAUUUCGUCCAAGUAGGAUUCGAAGUAUCGGCCUUAUUAGGUAGAAUGCCUUCCGCUGUGGGUUAUCAACCGACCCUAAGUACUGAAAUGGGUUCUUUACAAGAAAGAAUUACUUCUACCAAAGAAGGGUCUAUAAUCUCUAUUCAAGCAGUUUAUGUACCCACAGACAAUUUGACUGACCCUGCUCCUGCUACGACAUUUGCACAUUUAGAUGCUACUACCGUACUAUCAAGAGGAUUGUCUACCAAAGGUAUUUAUCCUGCAGUAGAUCCUUUAGAUUCAACGUCAACCAUGCUUCAACCUCGGAUCAUUGGUGAGGAACAUUACAAAACCGCCCAAUGAGUUAAGCAAACUUUACAACAUUACAAAGAACUUCAGGACAUUAUAGCUAUCCUUGGAUUGGACGAAUUAUCCAAAGAGGAUCGUUUACUCGUAGAAAGAGCGAGAAAAAUUUAGCGUUUCUUAUCAUAACCCUUUUUCGUAGCAGAAUUAUUUGCCGGUUCUCCAGGGAAAUAUGUCGGUCUAGUAGAAACAAUUCGAGGAUUUCAAUUGAUCCUUUCCAGAGAAUUAGAUGGUCUUUCUUAACAGGCCUUUUAUUUGGUAGGUAAUAUCGAUGAAGCUACUGCGAAGGCUAUGAACUUAGAAAUGGAGAGCAAUUUGAAGAAAUGACCUUAAAUCUUAGUGUACUGACUCCUAAUCGAAUUGUUUGGGAUUCAGAAGUGGAAGAAAUCAUGUUAUCUACUAAUAGUGGUCAAAUUGGCAUAUAACCAAAUCAUGCCCCUAUUGCCACAACUGUAGAUAUAGGGAUGUUAUGAAUACGCCUUAACAACCAAUGGUUAAUGGUGGCUCUAAUGGGUGGUUUUGCUAGAAUAGACAAUAAUGAGAUCACUACUUUAGUAAAUGAUGUGGAGAAGGGUAGUGACAUUGAUCCAUAAGAAGCUCAGUAAACUCUUGAAAUAGCGGAGGCUAAUGUGAAAAAGUCUAAAGGAAGGAGACAAAAUUAAGGCAAAUCUAGCUCUCCGACGAGCUAGAAUACGGGUGGAGGCUAUCAAUCCGAUUUCAUAACAAGUUAGUACGACUAGUUAGUACGUUCGAAUAAUAAAAAGAAGUUCCCUUUCUAAUCCUAUUUAGAUUCUAUCGGGUGAAUACAAUCAAAUACAAUCAAACAGAAGCCAAUUCUGAUGCAAAAAUUCAAAUUUAAAAAUGAAAUAGAAAAGAUACAAAAUCAAAAAAUAAAUAUCACUAAAGGUGGGUCGUAUCUUUAUUAGAUACCAUUGACUCUGGUAUCUAAUAAGUUUUACCUACUAUUGGAUUUGAACCAAUGACUCCCGCCGUAUGAAAGCAGUACUCUAACCACUGAGUUAAGUAGGUCAUGUGUCAUUCCAAAGAGAACCAAAUGAAACCCAUCCUGUCUAUGGAUUAUAAAUAUCAUAUUACUUAUAAGCAAUACUAAUCAUAAGGAAUACUAAUCUAAGGAAUACCACUCAAAGAGAUCAAAAAUUAUUGAUGUUGGAUUAAUGAAUAUUUAUCUUGACAAGAAUUUAUCUACAUGAUAAAAUAUGUAUCACAAGCACUAAGGGCUAUAGCUCAGUUAGUAAAGCAACUCGUUUACACGCACACCAAUGUUUUUUAAGAGAGUUCAUCAUACAAUCAGAAAAAUUGAUCUUGUUGAGAAAUCGAUGUCUCACUCUAUAACUUUGAGGGAACCAUAGCCUGACAAAGAGCUUGAUCCAAUUUGGACGUUCAUUUAGGAGGUGCUAGAUAGACCCCAUCAUUGAUUUGAGAUCUUGAUAAGGUGAAUACCCAGUCUAUUCAAUGCUAGGCAUAAUGAGAGUAUAAGGACCUUAAAAAAAUCUCUUUUCGUCAUAUGAACUUUAAGGUAUAUGAAGUUUCAAAUUUGAUUUUUUAAGCAGAAAUGAUAGAGACGUCAUUUAACUUAGGUUUAUUUAGGCCAAAGACAGACCUACGUCAAGAUAAUCCCACCUUUGAAACACUUUGGUAAUGCUCCCAAAUAAUGAAUCAGAGCAAAUAGAGCCAUUUUCUUAUCUUUUUUCUGUCAAGAAAAAAAAUGGCAGACUAACUUCUAUAAAUAUCAGUUAAUGAAAGAGCCCAAUGCAAAAAUAAAUGCAUGUUGGAUCUUUGAAACAGUUCAGAUCAUUUUAAUAAUAAUAAGCUUGAUCUUUUUUACCGAGAAGGUCUACGGUUCAAGUUCGUAUAGCCCUAUAAAAUAAAAUAAAAUAAAAAUGAAAAAAAAUUAUAUAAUUUUCAUUUCUUCAUUAUUAUUUCUUGCUUGUAACUAAGUUAAAUUCAACUAUUCCUAUAAGUUUACUCACGGCAAUCGUUUAAGUUUAAGCAGAUGAAAGAAAAAACGCAUAUCAAUGGAUCCAAUCGAUAUUUAUUUUUUCAAUUGCAGAUAAACAAACCAACCUUUCGUCAUUAAUCUUCGGAGGCGAAUUACAUAUUCAUAUCCACAAUAAAAGAAUUAGUGAGACCCCCUUUCUUUUGAUAUCCCCAAUCUUAUUGAAUUUUGGAAGUCAAAUCAUUUCACGGGCCUGGUGAAAUGAAAAACUACGAAGAGGAAUUCACAUGGAUUUAGGAAGGGACUGCUGUAUUUGUGUACAAGCUAAAGUUUUUUGAAAAACGAAUAUCUUUGGUCACUUUCAUUAUCAAAUAGGCUUUUCCUUCGUAUACCUUACUUACCUCGACCUAGCGAAGCACAACACAAAAAAGGUAGUCUUCUUUUUCUGUAUUCAACCAAGAAAAACCCCUCCACCUGGAUUCGAAUCCUAAUACUAUUAUUAAAUAAUAAUAAAAUAAUAAAAGGAAUAUACCAACACAAGAUCUUCUAAAUCUUGAGAUGGAAGUUCCUAUACAUUCUCUUCUAUUUGAUUACUUGUUCCAUUCUAGAUCACUAAAUCACUAAGAAAAAAAAUUAAAAUAAAGACCUCCUGAUUCUAUUUAUUCUAUUUAUAGAAAAAAAUAGAAAUAUUUAAAGAAUUUCUAAUUAAAGAAGAAAAAUUAAAGAAGAACUAAGAUAAUUAAUUAAUUUAGAAUUCCCCGUCUUUAGUUUAGAGAAAAAAACAAGAGAAAGAGGAGAAUUUGUAUAAGAGUAAUAUAUAGUUAGAAGGUUCUACUAACUAAAUAAAAUGGAAAUAAGUAUAAUGGAAAUAAAAUCGGA